rnacentral:rRNA from 1 species
UAAUAUUUUGAACCGCAUGGUUCAAAAGUGAAAGACGGUCUUGCUGUCACUUAUAGAUGGAUCCGCGCUGCAUUAGCUAGUUGGUAAGGUAACGGCUUACCAAGGCAACGAUGCAUAGCCGACCUGAGAGGGUGAUCGGCCACACUGGAACUGAGACACGGUCCAGACUCCUACGGGAGGCAGCAGUAGGGAAUCUUCCGCAAUGGGCGAAAGCCUGACGGAGCAACGCCGCGUGAGUGAU